rnacentral:rRNA from 1 species
UACGAAGGGGGCUAGCGUUGCUCGGAAUCACUGGGCGUAAAGCGCGCGUAGGCGGCUCUUUAAGUCAGGGGUGAAAUCCCGGGGCCCAACCUGGGAACUGCGUUUGAAACUGGGGGUCUUGAGUUCGAGAGAGGUUGGUGGAACUGCGAGUGUAGAGGUGAAAUUCGUAGAUAUUCGCAAGAACACCGGUGGCGAAGGCGGCCAACUGGCUCGACACUGACGCUGAGGCGCGAAAGCGUGGGGAGCAAACAGG